GUAGGGUGCGAGCGUUGUCCGGAAUUAUUGGGCGUAAAGGGCUCGUAGGCGGUCUGUUGCGUCGGGAGUGAAAACUCAGGGCUUAACCCUGAGCCUGCUUCCGAUACGGGCAGACUAGAGGUAUGCAGGGGAGAACGGAAUUCCUGGUGUAGCGGUGAAAUGCGCAGAUAUCAGGAGGAACACCGGUGGCGAAGGCGGUUCUCUGGGCAUUACCUGACGCUGAGGAGCGAAAGUGUGGGGAGCGAACAGG
rnacentral:rRNA from 1 species